CAGCCGCCGCGGUAAUACGAAGGGGGCUAGCGUUGUUCGGAAUCACUGGGCGUAAAGCGCACGUAGGCGGACUUUUAAGUCAGGGGUGAAAUCCCAAGGCUCAACCUUGGAACUGCCUUUGAUACUGGAAGUCUUGAGUUCGGGAGAGGUGAGUGGAACUGCGAGUGUAGAGGUGAAAUUCGUAGAUAUUCGCAAGAACACCAGUGGCGAAGGCGGCUCACUGGCCCGAUACUGACGCUGAGGUGCGAAAGCGUGGGGAGCAAACAGGAUUAGAUACCCCAGUAGUCCCUGUCUCUUAUAA
rnacentral:rRNA from 1 species